UCAAGGAAGAUCAAUGGAAACAGGAUUUUUCCUGAGCUCAAUUUCGAGUCUCAUAGCAAAGGGUCUGAAUACUUUUGUAACUAAGGUAUUUCUGUUUUUUAAAUUUUAAUUGGUUGUAACGUAACAUAAUGUUGAAGAAUUCUCGAAUGCACUGUAGAUAGCAAUGUAGGGAGCACUAAAAGUAUGUUUCCUAUUUUAAGCUCAAAUUAUGUUUCCUAUUUUAAGUGUUAACCCUUGUACAUAUCCCACUAACUCCAACUCAUUACUCCUUAACUAACCAUACUCAAAACAUAAAUAUAGUGGCUAAGUGAUCAGUGGCUGAUGCUUAAUACAUGGGGACUUGUACUCGAGUCACACACAGCUGCCAGUGGAAAUAUACAUAAGCAAAUCUUAUCAAUAUAAAUACCCAGAACACCGGUAAUAAUACUGGACUGCUUGGUAGAGUGCUGUGUCUGUUGUUACUUCAUAUAGUGUGCUGCUCUAAGUCUAAACAAAACAAAAUGAUAAUACUGUAUGUAGCUCUUAUCUUUGGCCAAGCGGAUAUGCAGACAAACAAAAAGGCCUCCAUAAAAAAGUGUGUGUUUCUGGGUGUUACAUUUUGAAUGUGUAUGCAGUAUGCACUGCACAUUGUUCUAGGUUAUUUCAACAUUGGUUGGCCAUACUUGACCAUCUGUUAAUUGUAGGACAAGAUGGAUGGUGUCACAUCAGUUUGUCUUCCAGUCUCUUUAGUGGGCCGUUCCACAGGGGUUGUCUGAGGUCUGGCAGCCCAUGUUCUGAUACUUCACCUGGACACGGAACAGAGUGCCGUCUGCACACAUACACAGCUUGUACCUCAACAGACCUUCGUCGAAAUACACGUUGGCCCCCACUGAGGAGUUUUGCAUGCGACUGAUGCUCACCAUCACCGACCCGUUCAGAACAAUACUGUUCUCCUGCAAGGGGAAAGACCUUGUUAACCAUAAGUUUUAAUGGAAUGCAAUACACCAUAGACCAGACCCCCCCCCCAGAUGUUUCACAUGUAUGUUAUAACCCUAAACUGGCACACCUGAUUCGAUUAGUAAACUAAUCAUCAAGUCUUUAACUAAUUGAAUCAGGUGUGCCAGUUUAGGGCUAAAAGAAAAAUGUGAAAAGUCUGGGGGGCCCGAGGAGAGGGCCUGAUAAACAAGUAGACCAAAUUGGGUAAGGGGUAACACUCACAGCUCUGAGCUCGAUGUCCCCUCCCAUCCUGAACUCCACCGUCUUGCCCAUGAUGAAGACCCCCUCAUUGCCGCGGAUGAUGGCCUUGCUGUCCCCUUUGAUGGACAAGUCAGAGGAAGCGUUGCUGGUGAUCUGAAAGCAGAGAGAGUAUUCAGAGAUCUACCACUUUUUUCUGGGAUAAAAAAAAAACAAUGACAGGAAUGGAUACUAGAAUGUAUUUUAUCUACAGUAACACUAUUUGUGGUGCUACAUGUUUUAUUAGAUGGCUUCUGUUGGCCUGGAAUAUACCCUUUCUGUGGAGGCUUUCUUCACACUGAGUACUUUGACUCCUUUGGGCAGGUGGAAUUCGUGGUUUUCAAAGUCUGUGCUGAAGAAGGUGUUCUGAGUGCGGGGGUCAGUGAAGGAUAUUCCCAUGUCACUGGUGAUGGACGUCUUCUCUUUCUCAACACUGAGCUUAGUGGAGCCCUGCUGAAACACCACCUGGAACACAUAUACAAAAACCAUAUACAUGUAAGAGCAUACAGUCUGAUUAAGGUAUUCAUAUCUGGGUAUGAAUACAUUAAUCAGACUGGGGAAGUGUGUGUAUAGACUGCUUAUACCAAUGUAUUUGUUAUUCCCUCUGUGUGUGUGUGUGUGUGUGUGUGUGUGUGUGUGUGUGUGUGUGUGUGUGUGUGUGUGUGUGUGUGUGUGUGUGUGUGUGUGUGUGUGUGUGUGUGUGUGUGUGUGUGUGUGUGUGUGUGUGUGUGUGUGUGUGUGUGUGUGUGUGUGUGUGUGUGUGUGUGUGUGCGUGUUUGUGUGUGUGUGUGUGUUGCCUAAGUGAGUGUAUUUUUCCAUAAGUGAGUGUGUUUUGCCUGAGUUCACCGGGUUGUUGUUGCCGGUGAUAACCAGGUCCUGGUCCUUCCUGCCCCCCACAGUGCUCUUGUGUAGUGGGUGGACCACACCCAUGUCUGCCUUCUGCUUGAAACGCAGCAGCCCACUCUCAUGGAACUCUAUACUGUCACAACCACUGGGCCCGAUGCGGAUCACUGUCCAUAUCACUAGAGUUAUCUGAGAGACAGGACAAAUGUCAGAGAUUCAGAUACAUUGACUUGAUUUGUCAUAAUCAGAACUAGUUAUAACAUAUCCAUAACUAACAUUCUGAUGAUACUAGCCUGUUAAAAAGUGAAUUCAGAUAAAUAAGGAUGGUGACAUUAUGCAGAGCAUGUUUUGUGUGUCAUUGGGCACUCACAAUGAGGUUGAUGAGAGCCAGCAAGAAGAGCAGGACUAUGAUGCAAACAGCCAUGUUGCCCUUGCGUCCUCUCAGGCCUGUCUUGUGCAGGCGCUCCUCCUCAAUGGGCACAUAGCCCGCCUUGAAGUUGCUGUUGUGCUCCUUGUUGGUGGUCCGCCGUUCCAUGGCCUUCUCCCUCAUGGACCUCUUCACAGGCCCAUUAGAACUCUCCUUCAGCACACAGAACAGCAGCAAUGUCAAGGCUCAGUAGGCUCACUCAGCUUUAACAUGCUAUACUGCUGUGACAUCUACAAACAACACUUUCUGGGUGGUUCCCAUCAAUCAAAGCAUUGACUUCACUGUACACCUCUCUGGGUGAGAUUAAACAUUAAGAGUUCUAUACAUUGUAACUACCACAUGUUAUUUUUUCCCCACUCUGCAAUCUAGUUGAUCUAGUAGUUGAUACAUUGUAACAACCCAAUUGACAGCUUAUUUAGCUGUCAUAUGUAGUUACAAUGUAACAAAUAUACUGUAUCUCUGAGUACAGCACCACAUAUUGUAACCACCACAUUCUAUUUUAUUAGACUUUAUGCAGGCGUCGCUGUAUAGACAGGUUGCUUCUGAGGAAUGCGCGCAAUUAAACACCCGGGUCUCUCUGUCUGUAGGUAAUGACUAAAAAUAAAGUACACGUAUAUUCCACGUAACAAAUAUGAAUAGUCCAGGUCCAUAUUCAACUCGGAUGAAAAGAUAACUUCAUGAUUUGGGGUAAUACAACCAGUUUAAACUUCCCAAUGCCGUGGAAAAACUGCGGCAAUCAAGCCGUUAUUUCGAGGUAUGUCUAUCAUAAAAAGCGUAACAGCAGUACAGGGCUUGGAAGCGUGAUAGCGUACUAUGGAUAUUCCGCAUACGCUUUACAACGCCCGCCCGAAUACCGUAAUUCCUUUCAAAUGAGUUCGUAGUACAUAUAGAUGCCUACAUCAAAACGGGAAUGGAAAAUGUAGAAAAACAAUAAUGUCUUUAAAUGGAAACAGACCUGCUCAGACGCCAUGUUCACCCUCCCCCUCUUCCAAAGCGUUUGACAGCUCCGGAGUCCGGAAAGACAGUGGACUAGACCACUUCAUUCAAAUGAAUAAAAUAAUAUAUAUCUCUCCAGUUUUAAUACUUGGAACGAGGUUUUUAUUAGGGUAAUUAUUAUAUUAGCAGGUGGAAUUUGAAGCCUUUUUAUCAAAUUGUUCAUAGCUGGAUCACUGUUUAUCACAGAUGGUUCCUUCCUGGCUAAACCAGCCAAUGGGAAAGGCCCGCAACAGGAUUCCAAAAUAAGAAAGUCCAUAUAAAGCCUGUCCAUUCAUAUUUUCUUCCAGGCAGGGCUUCCGAAUAGACUAGUCCACAGACAAUUAACAUCACUUUAUCCCUACUUAAGUGUUGUUUAUUUCAAGUAAUAAAGGUUUUAUCAGAGAUGAUGACACAACUUGAUAAUGUAUGGAUUCCACAGCCCCUAAAACACUACCAGACCGACACUUUUACUAAAGCGUGGCUUUCAGUGUUAGUGGGACAUUUUAGUAAAUGAACUGGGACACUGUAUUCUCCUUAGAACUACAUUCGUGUCCCACUUCAAUCAAUAAGACUGUAGAAUUUGUAGAAGCUUGUAGAUAACACACUGUUUUCACAAUUUUGUUACAAUAAACAUUUACUAAACCCUCCCCAUGCCAUUGGAAAAUGAAUUGGGGGACAUUCCAAGCUUUUAGGAGUCUGCACAGCUUUAACUUGAUCCUGGAACACUACUAUCCCCCAAAUUCCCCUUUCAAAAUUAUUGUAGCCUCUUUCUAUAGUCUCUUUCUUCCAUGUCAUUGUGCUUCCUUUAUUUCCUUCCUACCCUUGUUUGUUAUCUUCCCUCUAAUUCCUUCCACCCUCAUCCUAUACUGUUUAUUUGCUAUAUAGUGUAUGACAUCGAUUCAGAGAUGCUAUGAACAACUUAAACAACAAAUUACAAUGUAUUUUAUAAUAUCUAAUGCCAUAAAUAUAUUUGAAUUAAUUAAAGAUCCUUUUUUAAGUUUCAUCAAACACCAAUCAGGGGAAGUGGGACAAUACUAUAAACCUGGUUUUCAUAAAAUACAAUAACUGUUUACAUGAAUAAUUAUUAUAGUUUAAAACACUACCAAUAACAGUUUGUUUUAACACAACAAGCUAAAUUGUUUAUAAUUAAUUAUAAUUGACAGAAUUAUACCUUUUUCAUUCUAGCGCAAGUUUUCAUAUGUAUGCCGGUUUUUUAUGAGUUUUAACAGGUCGCCCCACCUAGGAAACCUGACCACACACACUACGAUGAUGUCACACUAACCAAUACCAUUUUUUUCAAGCACAGAACACAUUCAGCAACAAACCAAAAAACAUUUAUUUUGAUUGGGUUACAAAAUUACCAUAGUACAGUAGGCCUACCUUAAAACACAAACGUACCACUUGGCCUAUAACCGAUUUAACUAAUACUGACGUCAUCCGAAAUUGACUGUGCCUCUGAAAAAUAGCUCAGUGUUUCACAUCUUCCACAUAUGACAUUAAUGGCAGGAGACACCCAACGCCCACGUGUGUGUAACAGUAUGACAUUACAAUGGUCUUGUUUACAGCACAGACAGCCUACUUCACUUGAGCGCCUACAUCAUAAAGGAAGAACCGGCAGAAGACGUUUACGGUCUAUACUUUUCUCACAAGAAUAUCCAGACUAUUACUGAAAACAAUGCAAGUGGCUUUAUCAAACAUUCUCAAUCUGUAUAUGAGUAAAAUGAGUAAAAAGCGUUGCCACAACUGAGAUGGUACUUGGCACCCGUUGUAACGAAGGUGGACAAAACGUCAAGGGCAAGAAUUUCUAAGGCGGGUAUAAAAAGGGAGCGCGCGCCUGUCACGGGCGCUCUCGCCCCAGAUUAAAUCCCACGGUUGUCCAAAGCGUUUUGAACCUUUCAAGAUUAGUGAGGGAGCAGACAUGGCCGACUCGCUAAGGAGGCUGGUUAACACAUCUUCCUUCAGCGUUCUACAGGACAAACUUGAGUCCUGGUACAAGGACUACCAUGUCAUCUCCUGUGAUCAGAAUCUGAACAGGUGCUGUGAAUUGGUAGAGCUCACCUCCAAGAUACAGGGUCAACUCUUCACCAUCCUCAACUUCACUGCUAGAGAGGGUGGUCACUAUGCAGGAGUGGAUGUGCUCAAAUCACGCCUGCUGCCUUGGUUGGGGACUUGUUUCUCCAUGGCAACCUCCUCUGUCACCAAUGACACCAGCCUCAACCUCAUCCAGGAGUCCGUGGAGAAGGAGAGGAAGAUCAGAGAGCUGUCUGCCUCCCAUGAGAACGACAUGCAGAAGAUGGAGACUCAGCUGUGCUCCACUCACCUACAGCUGGACUCUGUCAAACAGGAACUGGCGGAUGCUCAUCUGCAACUGGACAACACAAAAAAUAUGUCAGCCACAACUCUGCUGGCCACCGAGGAUGAGAUACUACAGCUGAAAGCAGAGUUGCGUGCGUCCCGUGACCAGGUGGAGACCUAUAAGAGGAAGCUGGAUGUUCUGGAUGACUAUGAGAGACAGGUGCGUCUGCUGAGGGAUGAGGUGUCUUUCCUCACAGCAGAGAAGAGCAUGCUGCAGGAGAGGUUGGUGAGGAGUUGUUCCCCCAGCCCCCUGCCCAGACAGAGCCGCCCCUCCAGCCCUCUGAAGAGUGAGUCUCCCACCCGGGCCCAGCUCACCAAUUCGUCCCGCCACGCCAGGCUGGUGUCCCGCUUCAGUGACUUGUAUGCUGUGGAGCGCCUGGAGGCCCAGAGUCUUCUCCGACGCUACAUAGACGACCUGGAGAUGGUCCAGAGAAUCAUCUUCAUUGCCACUGUGGAGGCCUUCCAGGCAGCCAAGCUGGCCUACCGUCAAUUCAAGCUGAGAGUAAAGAAGACCCUGUCACCCUCCCACCUGGGGCCGGAGUCCCUGGAGGACUCGGUGGUGGACUAUAUCGUCAGGAACCUGGACCUCUACGACGUGCAGGCCAGUGUUAAUGACGUGAUCAACGCCAUGAAUGUAAACCCACGGAUCUCCUUCCCCCCGGAGGUAGACUUUGUCCUGAUCAACAGCUUCAUCCGGGAGACAUGCAGAGUGGCCUUCGCCAUGCAGACACUGGACUCUCCUCUGGACCUGGCUUUCACCAGCGGUGGAGAACUCUACAGCGACAACAAGUAUCGUCGUAGCUAUGACUCUGAGUUUACUGCUCCUCUGGUGGCGUACCAUGUGUGGCCAGCACUGGUGGAGGGGGACGGUGUCAUAGUGAAGGGAGAGGCAGUCACCAGGAGAGGAGCUCUGUGGAGGAGCAGAAGCAGGAGCUGCAGUCCUGUUCGCUCUGGCAGCCCCUCACGCACUCUCGUAAGUUACUACGACGACUGAGACCUAACACGUUGAAAUAAUGUCACAAAUAUCAAGAAACUCUUUGGAAAGAUGUGUCAGCCCAGGGUUUUUAUGAAGCAAGAACAUAUUCAGGGAAGUUGCGGGUGGGAAAGCACACUAGAUGAAAGCUGUGCAUGUGUGAUUUAGACUUUUCUUUUGCCACCAAAAUACAUCCAUGCAUACCCUGAGCCCUUGGGGGGUUUAGUCGCAGCAGAAGCCCCUCUCCCGGACGUCUCUCCGCCAGUCGCCUGUAAACCCUAACUGACCACUGAGUUACAAAAGGAAAACAAAAUUCUACACAUCGAUUUCAUGUUUGCAACAAAGACAGAUCUUUAGCUUUAAUGGACUGGAUCCUGUCGUUAUUUGUCAGUUGUGAUGACUUGAUGUUAAGUAGUUAGACUCCGUGUCAAUAUGGACAUUGGUCCAGGGUUUACAGUAUUCUGGAGAGAUGUUCCAUGUUACCAUUACAGUAUCCAGAGACUCUGGCAGCUGGUCCUUUCAGAACAAUCCUUUCAGGGUGCUGGAGCAGCACAUGACAAGGCUGUGUGUGUGUGUGUGUGUGUGUGUGUGUGUGUGUGUGUGUGUGUGUGUGUGUGUGUGUGUGUGUGUGUGUGUGUGUGUGUGUGUGUGUGUGUGUGUGUGUGUGUGUGUGUGUGUGUGUGUGUGUGUGUGUGUGUGUGUGUGUGUGUGUGUGUGUGUGUGUGUGUGUGUGUGUGUGUGUGUGUGUGCGCGCAUAAUCUAUCACAUUAUCUUAGUGAUUCUUAACUGUGCACUAUGCAAAACCAGGAUGAUUGUGUGGUUGACCGUAAUGUAACUUUUUAAGGACAUUUAGACCUGCACAGUAUCAUUUUCUGAGACUGUUGUAGUUUAGGUUUUAUCUUUAACCUCAAACCUUGAUAGACUCUGGGUUAUAAAGAAUAUAAUGAAUACAUUUGUAUGUCAUUUUAAUGUAAGUCUUAGCCUGCUUUUUUGUUGGUCGAUUUUUUGUUGUUGUAAGACACAUGGUGCUAAAGUUCAGUCAGAACUGUUCAACUCCACAAAAAACACGAGAGAUUGGUAUUGCUGAGAACAAUGAUUAAGCAUACAGUUUGUAAAGUCAUCCGUUCCAGUCCAUGUUUCUUUUUUUGGGGUGUUGUGAUAUUAGCUAGAUGUGUGGUUUGAAUGGAUUUGGAACAAUAGAAGGGAUUUAAAAUGAUACAAAACAUAUUCUGUAACUUCAAAUGGUUGACUUGAGAAAAGAUGCCUUUUUUUGUUAGUCCUAAUGAAGUUGCUUAUUAUCUACUGUACGCACAAGAUCCAAGAGCAACAUAUACCAUAUUUAGGAUAAUUGUUAGGCUGUAAAUCAAUGAAAUGUGGAGCCUAAGUAUUUUUCACUAUUUGAAAUCAUUAUACAGUCUAAUCUUUCAUUUUGCAUUAAACAGUGUGUUAGUGUUGUGUAUGCAAAACGUGGUGAUAAACCCCAAAAACUUGGACUCAAAUAUAUAUCAUGUAAUUGUGCUGUUCUUGUUACAGAAUACAAAAAACUAAAUUAUUUACUGAGAGAUUGUGUCUUUUUAAAGAUAAAAUAAAUAAAUAACUUUACUAUCAA